CCGCCGCACCUCUAAAAAGGCUGGGCAUAGGCAGACGCUGUCCUGUGGGAUCAUUUGAUUGCUGCUUCUUCUCAAGGUCAUGUGGAGCUACUGAAUUGGGCAAAACAACUGCAGGAGAACUCGGAGUUCAGUCCUGAUGAAAUCCUGAAUCUGCCAGAAAAAGGAUACAGAUGAAGUAGGUGCCUCAAUCUGCAGGCCUGAGCACAGGGUUUGCAACCGUUGCCACCAUUCCUGUUCAGAGCUGCCUUCCUCUCCUUCACCUGCUCUUCCAUUCUGAGGUAGGAGCCACUCUGUGGGCCCUGGGGGAAUGGAAGUGACGAGGAUUUCCAUCAGCUCGAGUCGACAUGGAAGGAUGUGACUUGCUGUACAGAGUGAUGGAGGAGUCGGAGUGGUGUUAUGGCUGAAGACCCUAGGCCUGGGGAGAGGAGAAGAAAAGUGGAGAGAGCUGUUCUGGGAUCCCAGCUCUUCAUUUGGCCCCUGUUAACAUGAGCAAGUUACGUCCCUGCUCCCCAUCUCCUCACUCUCUUCUUCACUUGAGUUGCUUAGGGCAGGAAUUGUUUCUCAUUAUGCUGUUGUGUCUUGUAUGGGGAGGCCUUGACCUUGGUGGGGGCACCAAUCAUUACUAUUACACAAAUGCCAGAGGAACAAAGAAUUAUGGAAUCAGAUAGUCACAGAUAUCAGUUUGUCCCUUUCUGGAUUUUUAUUCCUUUGUCUCCUCCUUCACAAGAAUGGAUUUGACACAGGGAAAGUUGAUUCCUCAGUAGCACUGCCACAUCUCUCCUUUUCUCCCCAUUCAAGUCCUCCUUGAAGCAAGUGAAAAGAUUCCCACCAAAAUACACUGAAAAUGGACCAGGCUCUUCAAAGGCAAGAAGCACAGUUUUGACAUUGUUUGGAGUAUACUGGGAGCCCAGCAAGGUCACCCAUUCUAUUUCAAGGCUAGAUGUUUGAUAGAGGAGGUUUCCCACAAUGCCUGUGUCCACAGAGGCUCAAUAUGUCCAUGCCACCCUCUCUGGCUAGUGCAGGCUUAUUCUUCCCCUCCUACAUUUGCAGGUGGCGUUUCCUGAGUGCCCUGCUGAGCAUUGGUGUCACAAUGGCUAGCAGAGCAUGGAAGGAGUGAGCUGUGGAGAGGCUGCCAGGAACUUCCCAACCCAUGCGAAAGUUGCUGCUUCCUUCUGCCCGGUGUGUGCUGCCAAGCAAGCUGCUUGUUAUGCUGAGGCCAGCAAUAUUCUUCAACAUCAACAGUGUCUGGGGUGAAUCAGGUACACCAAACAAGAAUCGCAGCCUUGAUUUCCUACGGACUAAGGGAAGGGAAGCUGCUCUGAGGCAGCACACCUUACAUUGCUGUUCGUCUUAUGCUGCUGUUUCAUUUGUAUUUCAGGGCGCUUUCUAACCUUUGCUGAGCAAGGCUUCAGUCUGUUACCCCCUGCCUGCCCAACCUUCCUGUAAUGCAGAAAUAAACAAAGAAAAAAGCUGUGCCAUAUCCCAUUAGUUGAGAUCAAAAUACAGUUCUCUUAUCCCAUCAGCUGCGCUGCUUUCAGCUGGAUGUACCAAAUCUAUGUGACUUGCUUGCCCCAUCUAUUAUAUUAAUCUCUAGGUCCUAAAGUUAGAGGGGAAACCUGGGAUUCCUGGAUUUUGUCAUUCUCCUUUAACAGAAAGUUUGUAACUGAAUGGCAAACUGUGAGCCGAGGCCCUCUCUUCUUGCCAAACUCUGUAAAAGAUAAUUACUGCUGGAGUUCAAGUGGUGGCAUGUUUUGCAAGAGAUCUAGAAGCCUAGUAUGCAACCUUCCAGAUAGACACUAAUUGUGCCUAUGAUUACCCUCCUCCUUUUUUUGUUCCCAGCAAUUUAAUAAAUUCACACACUGAAAACUUGUUGGAAAACUAAAAUGUCGUUCAAAAAUCUGCUUAUUGCGGUGUAUCGGAGAACACAAUACCUGUAUUCUGAUUUUGAGUCAUCUGUGAAGCUUAUGGACUGGUGGACUCACAAGCUGAGAAGUUUGCUUAUGGUAAUUAGGUGAUGGUAGCAUGAUGAAGGUAGAUUUGCAGGUUUCCAGAGGUGUGACUAUAUAUCUGUGCUGAGGAGAGGUCAGAGCAAGGGACACUUCAUUAUGGAUUGGAUUCCCUCUGAUGGAAGUCCGUAAGUUUCCUCUUAACUACUGACUUUUCAUUGUGGUGAUGUCUCCUACAGAUGGAUGCAGGCCUCUUUGCCUGGCCUAAAUUCUAUAGUACUUACCUCAUUACUCUCCUAAUGAUGAGCUGACAAAUGCUUUUGCUUGAUUUACUGGUGACAUUACAGGUGUUUGGAACACUUGUCAGUACCUUCCUACUACAUGUCUAAUCUUUCAAACAGUGAGAUGUGCUAGCUUCCUUCACAAAAUGUCCUUCUGCAUUUAACUGCCAUGGGCUUUAUUGCAUGCACCCCAAACUUCCAGAGCUCUGCCUUAAGAUGCCCCCUCCAGAAAAAAAACAGCAGGCACUGUGUGCAGAUGUUGACAUCACUGGACUUUGGAUAAGGAGAAAUGGGUGAAGAAAUAGCAGAAAUGGGUGAAGAAAGAGCAGCCUUCCAAUUGCUUGUGGAACCAUGGCGGUACAUCAUCAGUCCUGAGAUGGGUCAGAACAGAGUCCUCAUCCUACCAAGUUCCUGGGUGCAACAGUCUGCAGCAGUUUGUGUUCUGCCUUCUGCCUCUCCUGUAUUUCUCAUUUUAAAGCAGAAAAGGGUGUUUGCUGGUCAAACUCCCAGAGAAUGGACUUUACUAAACCCUGUAUAAGUAGAGUGCUGAGUUCAAACAGGGCAAUUGGGCAGAGCAAGCAGGACAGGUGAGAGAUCUCUAGGCAUCUCACAGCAAUGGAAGAGGAACUGCUUGGAAGGGGAAGAACAUCCACAUUUCGCGCACAUUUCUUCCCCAGUUGGGCAGAGCUCUUACUGCUCUUCUGGUUGUGUUGCUAGGAGAGGAGUGCUCUGCCCUCCUUAUGGCUAUGAAUAGCUCGCUCUUGUUUAUUCAGCUCAGCUCCGCCUGCUGGUUACAACCACAACCGGCACCAUCUCAUUGCAUGACACCACCAUAAAACAAUGCAACUGCAACAGGAACAAUCCCUCCCCCCUCUACUCCCCCCCCUCCCGCCUCUGGCUAUGAAGGCUUAAGAACACCUUUAUAGUGCACUGCUUCAGAGCUGUCCUUUCCCUCCUCUUCCCCUACUUUACAGUGCAUCCCCUCUGCUUCCAGCAGAAAGGUCUCUAAAAGCAGCUGAACGGUGCGCUCUCAUUCCCAGAGAGCAAGACUGAGAGCCAGGACCUGCAAAUCAGGGCAUUAUCUCAGAAAUCUGGCUUGAAAUAAGUGCAUGAUCAUUUCAGAGUCCUCCUCUGGUAUUCCAGUGUUCCAGGCUUUUGGGAACUAGAAAAGUGACUUUUCCUUUUUUAGUGAAAGCUGAGAUUCUUGCAUAAGCCCAUGAAUCCAGCACCAGGGACUUUGAGAAAAGGAACAGAUGGUUUGAAAAUUGGCAAUAAUGGGAUUUCUGAGGUUUUCUUAAGAAUAUUUUAUCUGAGGUCUGACCAGGAAUGAAGCAUCUAUGGCAAUGGCAUUAGGCUGCAUUGACAGAGGAGAAAACUAAUGGGGCUGAGUAAAAGACCCCCCAAAGUGCUGUAAAAUGUGACCAAGUACAACAUUUCAAAACCUCUGCUACAAGGGACAGAGGGACAGCCAACAUGCACGACCAGUUGAUGCGCUGUGAGGAGGGAUGUGUACGUGUGGACAAGCAGAGCCACACCAGUUCAGAGGAACGUUUACUCGAGAACCCCUAUCUUUCUGAGCCACCUGGGCACUCAGCUAAGAAGAACGAGCACGAGGUGAGGCAUAGCAGCAGAGAGCAGAAGAGGUGUGAACGGUUGCUGCACAGGUACAGGUGAAUCAAUCUGUCUUUUUCAGCAUGGUGAGCUUCCACAUGUGCAUAUUUCCCCGGACUUCUCAUCUUUCUCCACCUGGGAACUUUGUUGGGAUGAAAUUGGAAUAUCAGAGUUUCCACAUGCCCGUCGGGUCUGUCAUAUAGCUGGGCUGCUGAACAUCCAGAAAUUCAGGAUAGGUCAAUCGCACGCCGGCGAGGUGAACUGUGUAGCAUACAAGCACUGAAACACAACGCCUAACGAAUCCCCACACUGUCAGACCUGCUGUGCGGGUGAUCUGCCUAUGUGCCUUGCAGAGGUGUCUGGUCUACUGGGCAUGCACAGGUCUGUGUGGUGCAAGUGUGUGUACUCCUGUUUGGGACACAAGACAAGCACAGUACUAUUGUUUUUUUACUCAUUCUUGAUACAUUUGUAGAGGAGGUGGGAGAUGAAUGCUUCAGUGCAGUGGAAAAAGGAAGCAGGUAUGUAUGUAAGCUAGACUAUCUCACUGUCUGCCUCUUUACAGGAGCCAUCUCAUCACUUUAACUAGAGUUGGGGUCCUAUCAUACAAGAUAGUGUACAUGAACAUACAGAAAAUGUUUUAUCUCUCUCCCCGCAAAGCAAACAAACAAACUCACCAAACAUCAUACAGUCUGAAUUAACAGAAGUGCCAGUAAGGGAUAUUGUAAUUCCUACUUGACAGACAGGGAAAUUAAUCCCAGAUAUGAGUCAAACAAAGCUCUUGAUCUCAUGAAGCAGGAUUCAGAUGAAUUUCAGAUACUUGUGAGCAAGGUAUGAUGCUGCAAACCCUUGCUCAGCUGAUGCCUAGUUCUGGGAAUGCCCAGAGCCCUCAGGCCCAUCCGCUUUGACUGUGAGACCCCUGGCUUCAGCAGCUCUGCUCUGUACUUGUCCUCCUGCUUGACAAAGCUUAGCACAGCAGCAGGCGAAUCCAGAAACAAAAUGCUUCUGUGCCUCCAAGAGCAUGCCUCCAGGAUGGGCACUGUACAGAAUCGCUAGGCUGAUGCUUCCUGGUAAGGUGCAGCAUCCAGCCGGGUUAAAGUACUCCUGGAAGAAUUCAGAAGCCCCAGCCUGUGCUGCCUGUUCUGCCCCUGGCGUUUCCAGUCUGUGUCUCCCGUGGAAGUGCUCCAGCUUCUGAGCCGCGCCUGUUUGAGGAGAGAGGGCAUGCUUACCUCUCCUGCCAACGGCGUUGUGGCUUCCCUAGGCAUACACUGGGGUGGAAGCAUCUGCAGGGAUCAGCACCCUGCUUGUUCCGCAUUUCACCUGAGGAGAGGGGGAUGCCCACGUCCCAGUCCACCCUCAGGUGACCGCUUCUGAAUUUUAUCUCGCAUCUCUUUAAUGUAAAAUUCAGAGACAAGCACUCUGUGAAGGGACCUGUGUUUUCCUUAGUAAGUGGAGUGCCGUGAGAUCAAUGAGAUUAAACAUGUGCUUACACGCUGUCCUGAAUUGGGGCCAUGAGGAGAGCAAUGGGAAAGUAAACAGAAGAGAAACGUUAUGGAAAUGAAGGAAGAGGGAAAAUCCACCCUGCCAGGAGCGGCAGCUCUCAUCAGCUGCAAGAAGACAUGGUCUCAUCCAGGGCUGGUUAGACUCUAGCAGGUCUAGGGGCUGGCAGAGAGGACGAAGUCAUCUUCACUGAGGUACAAAAGCAGCCUAAAAAGUGAGACUGGGAGCGGCCAAGAGAGGCUGUUUCUGCUGGGUGCAGCCUUCCUAGACAAGGUGAGUUUAGCCCUGGGUUGUUUUUUCCCAUUAGCAGGAUGUGGAUCUGAAAAUAAUCAGGCUUCAACCUGGCAGCCUGGGGAGGUUUGUUCUCCCUUAAAAGACUGUAUGAAAAGAUGUAGAAAUCCUGAGCUUUUUAGGAUGGCUUGAGUGGACCCCAGCCUUUAUGGCACCCUGACAAGACCCAGGUCCCUCAUUCAGGAACAAACUGCUCAGCUCUACUCAGGGCAGAAUUCCGGCACCGCGAAGUGGCUUUGGUGUACAGAGAUAUGGAGCCUUUGUGCACACUGGUUUUCUAGCCUGGCUGUGCUUCCCCCAGCCCGUUCCUCUCUCCAUCUACAGCCAUUCUUGGUCACAGUCUUUCUUCCUUGCUUGACCUUCAUUUCUCUUUCCUAGGAAACACAUCAUUUGCAUCUGUCCUAGUAUCCGAACUGCAAAUUGGACCUGAUUAAAAUUCUUCACAGAGCAACGUGGACUAGUACAGAACUUCUAUUAUUCUACUACUCAAUAAAACUUUAGAGUUUCAGGAGAUUGUAGGAGCUCUGUGUUUGGGAGGUGACUUCACUGUUGGUCUCUUAAAUUCAGAACCAUGCAUUCUCCUUUCUGUUGCAUUUUUGCAAGAUGACCUUGGUAGGUCACUUUGUCUGACUGACUUUGUUUUACCCCUCGUUAAAUUUAGAUAAAAAUACUUGCUCAAGUUAGUGAAGUGUCUUUGCUAUCGUUGGACAAAAAAGCUAUCUAAAUGGCGAUUACUGUGAUUAUAAUAAUUAUUUUUAUUAAAUGAAAC